GUAGGGUGCAAGCGUUAAUCGGAAUUACUGGGCGUAAAGCGUGCGCAGGCGGUUAUGUAAGACAGAUGUGAAAUCCCCGGGCUCAACCUGGGAACUGCAUUUGUGACUGCAUAGCUAGAGUACGGUAGAGGGGGAUGGAAUUCCGCGUGUAGCAGUGAAAUGCGUAGAUAUGCGGAGGAACACCGAUGGCGAAGGCAAUCCCCUGGACCUGUACUGACGCUCAUGCACGAAAGCGUGGGGAGCAAACAGGAUUAGAUACCCUGGUAGUCCACGCCCUAAACGAUGUCAACUGGUUGUUGGGUCUUCACUGACUCAGUAACGAAGCUAACGCGUGAAGUUGACCGCCUGGGGAGUACGGCCGCAAGGUUG
rnacentral:rRNA from 1 species